GUGCCGAAGACCAGGCACACACACACCGAUCCUUGCGCUCAGCAGCAGCAGCAGCAGCAGCAGUCGGAGCCUCAGCGACCCAGCAAUCAUGAUCAAGCUCCUGAUCCUCCUCGCCGUACUGGCCCUCUUCGCCGUCUCCUACACUACUGCAGCGCCGCAGUACCUUCUCCCGUACGCCUACCCGUACCACUAUGGCUACUACGGCGCCUACUACCCGCACGCCUACUACUACGGGCGCUGAGCCAGCAUCGAAGCGAGGGUAGCGACAGCUCGCGGCGACUUCCUCGAAAGCAACUGAGACUUCUUAACACACUCCUUCACUGCUAUGGGCAUUUAUCGUGAUCACCACCAAGCCGCACUAAGUCACUUCUGCUGUCCUGCGAACUCCAAUGAAGCCCGCUGUUUUAACAUCGACUCUUCGUCAAUCUUGGAUCUUGGUUUGGAAUUAAAACAGUUCUAACCAGAC